rnacentral:rRNA from 1 species
AACGAACGCUGGCGGCAGGCUUAACACAUGCAAGUCGAACGCCCCGCAAGGGGAGUGGCAGACGGGUGAGUAACGCGUGGGAAUCUACCCAGUUCUACGGAACAACUGAGGGAAACUUCAGCUAAUACCGUAUACGCCCUAAGGGGGAAAGAUUUAUCGGAAUUGGAUGAGCCCGCGUUAGAUUAGCUAGUUGGUGGGGUAACGGCCUACCAAGGCGACGAUCUAUAGCUGGUCUGAGAGGAUGAUCAGCCACACUGGGACUGAGACACGGCCCAGACUCCUACGGGAGGCAGCAGUGGGGAAUAUUGGACAAUGGGCGCAAGCCUGAUCCAGCCAUGCCGCGUGAGUGAUGAAGGCCUUAGGGUUGUAAAGCUCUUUCAGUAGGGACGAUAAUGACGGUACCUACAGAAGAAGCCCCGGCUAACUUCGUGCCAGCCGCCGCCUAAUAC